AUUGAACGCUGGCGGCAUGCCUUACACAUGCAAGUCGAACGGCAGCACGGGAGCAAUCCUGGUGGCGAGUGGCGAACGGGUGAGUAAUAUAUCGGAACGUGCCCAGUCGUGGGGAUAACGUAGCGAAAGCUACGCUAAUACCGCAUACGAUCUAUGGAUGAAAGCGGGGGAUCGCAAGACCUCGCGCGAUUGGAGCGGCCGAUAUCAGAUUAGGUAGUUGGUGAGGUAAAGGCUCACCAAGCCGACGAUCUGUAGCUGGUCUGAGAGGACGACCAGCCACACUGGAACUGAGACACGGUCCAGACUCCUACGGGAGGCAGCAGUGGGAAUUUUGGACAAUGGGCGCAAGCCUGAUCCAGCAAUGCCG
rnacentral:rRNA from 1 species